GGAAAAGUGCUCCAAGACUCAGUACAGCAGGGAUAAGCAGAAGCGUGGUCAAGGGAAGCCAAAAUCAGGGAAGCCAGAGGUCAGAGUAGUCCAGGAGGAAAGCCAAGGUCAGAAGCCGGAAUUAGACAAGAAUCACUGGAACGCAGGUACAGAGUAACAGGAACCAAACAAGGGAACCAGAGUCAAUGAACUGACACCCCUCCCAGGGUGAGGCAGGCUUUUAUACCUUGUUAAUUAGGUAUCUGAUUCAGCUGGAGAGUUACUGACAGAUCUGAGCCUUUGGUGAAGUCCAGCCCCCUAGUGCUGCAGGCAAUACAAGAAUAAACAGGAGUUAUCCAGAGUCCUGAAAUGGCUCAGAGGGAAAAUAGCAGGAUACGGCCCAGAAGAACCACAGUUCAAAUCCCCUAUCGGGCGCUUCCGGAGCGACCACGUCUGGCAGACUG
rnacentral:lncRNA from 1 species